rnacentral:rRNA from 1 species
GACGAACGCUGGCGGCGCGCUUAACACAUGCAAGUCGAACGGAAAGGCCUGCUUUCCCUUGUGGAUUGCGGGUACUCGAGUGGCGAACGGGUGAGUAACACGUGAGUGAUCUGCCCCCAACUUGGGUAUAAGCCUGGGAAACUGGGUCUAAUUCCCGAUAGGACUGCAGGGUGGUGCCUGUGGUGGAAAACGAUUUUCUAGUGGUUGGGGAUGAGCUCGCGGCCUAUCAGCUUGUUGGUGGGGUAAUGGCCUACCAAGGCGGCGACGGGUAGCCGGCCUGGGAGGGUGGACGGCCACAUUGGGACUGGGAUACGGCCCAGACUCCUACGGGAGGCAGCAGUGGGGAAUAUGGCACAAUGGGCGGAAGCCUGAUGCAGCGACGCCGCGGGGGGGAUGACGGCCUUCGGGUUGUAAACUCCUUUCGACCGCGAGGAAGCCACCUGGUUGGAAGGGUGGUGACGGUAGUGGUAGAAGAAGCACCGGCUAACUACGUG